rnacentral:rRNA from 1 species
AACGAACGCUGGCGGCAUGCCUAACACAUGCAAGUCGAACGAGACCUUCGGGUCUAGUGGCGCACGGGUGCGUAACGCGUGGGAACCUGCCCUUAGGUUCGGAAUAACUCCCCGAAAGGGGUGCUAAUACCGGAUAAUGUCUUCGGACCAAAGAUUUAUCGCCUUUGGAUGGGCCCGCGUUGGAUUAGCUAGUUGGUAGGGUAAAAGCUUACCAAGGCGACGAUCCAUAGCUGGUCUGAGAGGAUGAUCAGCCACACUGGGACUGAGACACGGCCCAGACUCCUACGGGAGGCAGCAGUGGGGAAUAUUAGACAAUGGGCGAAAGCCUGAUCCAUCAAUGCCGCGUGAGUGAUGAAGGCCUUAGGGUUGUAAAGCUCUUUUACCCGGGAUGAUAAUGACAGUACCGGGAGAAUAAGCUCCGACUAACUCCGUG